UACGUAGGGGGCAAGCGUUGUCCGGAUUUAUUGGGCGUAAAGAGCGUGUAGGCGGCCAGGUAGGUCAGCUGUGAAAACUCGAGGCUCAACCUCGAGACGUCGGUUGAAACCAUCUGGCUAGAGUCCGGAAGAGGAGAGUGGAAUUCCUGGUGUAGCGGUGAAAUGCGCAGAUAUCAGGAGGAACACCGAUGGCGAAGGCAGCUCGCUGGGACGGUACUGACGCUGAGGCGCGAAAGCGUGGGGAGCGAACAGG
rnacentral:rRNA from 1 species